CCUACGGGAGGCAGCAGUGGGGAAUAUUGCGCAAUGGAGGAAACUCUGACGCAGCAACGCCGCGUGGGUGAAGAAGGUCUUCGGAUUGUAAAGCCCUGUCGGGAGGGAAGAAAAGCACAUGGUGAAUGUGUCUGACGGUACCUUCGAAGGAAGCACUGGCUAACUCCGUGCCAGCAGCCGCGGUAAUACGGAGAGUGCAAACGUUGUUCGGAAUUAUUGGGCGUAAAGGGCGCGUAGGCGGCUUGGUAAGUCAGAUGUGAAAGCCCUGGGCUCAACCCGGGAAGUGCGUUUGAAACUGCUAAGCUUGAGUGCAGGAGGGAGAGGUGGAAUUCCAGGUGUAGGAGUGAAAUCCGUAGAUAUCUGGAGGAACACCGGUGGCGAAGGCGACCUCUUGGCCUGAAACUGACGCUGAGGCGCGAAGGCGUGGGUAGCAAACAGGAUUAGAUACCCUGGUAGUCCACGCGGUAAACGAUGCUCACUGGGUGCUGGUGGCAGACGCUGUCAGUGCCGUAGCUAACGCGAUAAGUGAGCCGCCUGGGGAAGUACGGGUCGCGAAGAUUAAAACUUCAAAUUGAAUUGACGG
rnacentral:rRNA from 1 species